GAGGGAUUAUUUAUUUUUGUCAUGACCCGAAUCGGGGCCCUAGCCGUGACGGGGAUCCUGAACCAUGAAGGUUCGAAAGCCCUUCUAACUUGCAACCAUAUGCACCAUUCAUUUACAAAGACGAACUGCGGAAAUACAAAACAAAACGGAAUCAUGGUCGAUAUCAUAAUUCAAUUGAACAAUAUGGGAUGGAAAAUAUAAACCUCUAAACAACGUCUAACAUCAGUCUGCAAAGUCUCUAACUGAAAAUGACAUUUGUCUGAAAUCUGAGAUAAGCCCCCAGUCGGGCCAUGAAUCAAAAUGAAAUAACAAUAACAAGUUCUAAUACAGGACUUCCGAAGUAAGGGAGGCUCACCAAUUGCAACUUCCGACGCACUCAAACCUAUUACUGAACUGGACCCCGAGACUGUCCCUCAGAUCCUAAGAUGGAGGGGGGGGGGUCAAUACAGAUAUACUGGUACGUAGAGCAAUCCAAAAUAAUGUACUUCUAUAUACAACAUAGGUGAGAGCAUUUCAUAAAAAUGAUAAGCAAGAAAUAAUUUAAAACACAUGGGCAACUUAAAAUAACCAUUCAAUGCAAAUCUGUAGAUGUAAAACCAUUCUUUAUUUUUUUUUACUUCUGAGAUAAGUGGUACACCCUACAUAUUUGAAAGUUUCCCACGGGCAAUAUGGGAUCCGUCAUUAACUCGACGGCCAAGCCCCCAACCUAAGUUUGCCGCAAGGGAUGAAGUAUCUGAAUCUGAUACGCCCCAGGGCACUAGGCCAACGUAUAAUAAUAUACCCGUAUCGGCAAAAUAUGGUUUCAGAAAAUGAAUCAUAUGACUCGUGCCUUCUUCGGGUAACCACCUAACUCUCUUAGUGCCCAGUUUUUAACCCAUUCUAAACAUGCAUCUUUUUGAAUUCAAAAUCUAAAAUCUAAAAUGAAAUUUGUAUCCUGUUCUGAGUUUUAUCAUGACUUUAUCUGAUUUGGUAUCGUCAUAUCAAGACUUGCAAGUCAUAAUUCUGAGCCAUAAAAUAUCCUUUACAGUUUUCUCUUUCAAAAUACAAAGGUUAGACCACCAUACUUCAAACAAUUCCGAAAGAUUCAUUCUUCCAAAACAUUUAUCAAAUUACGCAAAGAUCAUUCUUUUCAAUCAUUUCAACAAACAUGUGGUGGUCAUGAGUUUCAACAACCCAUGAAAUUUCUUUCAUAUAUAUAUAUAUAUAUAUAUAUAUAUUCAGCACUUAUCAACAUGUAAAACCCUCUCUCUUCAAUUCAAAAAGCAUAAUCAAGUCAUAAACAAAGUCAAGGCUUUUAUAUUAAAUUAUAUUUCCAGUAUCACAUUUCGAACACAUCAUAUCUUACGAAGUUAAGAGACUUGUAAAUAAGAGAGGGAUUUCAAAUAGUUCAUGCUCUCAAUUCAUAAUUCAAACUCAUCAAACUCAUACAUAUAUCUACUUAAACAUGGUUAUAAAUCAGAUUUGGAGGAAAGGCCUCAAGACCAAAUUAAUAUCAUCAAAAUCUUUAAAAAGCAUGAAUCUAAUUAUAAAUUCAAAAUCCCUUUUUUGUAAAUUCAUAAUUUCUAAACCUUUAACAUGAUUAAUAAGAAUUUACCAUGCCCAUGUAGAUUUAGAAAAAUCCCACGUACCUUAUAUUACAAGGUUUGAAGAGUAGAACUCGAAUCUUGAUUUGUUCUUUGAAAAUCUUGAACUUACGAGAUUGAUUCUUGAUCUUGAAAGAAAGCUUAGUUUCCAUUUUACUCUUGAGAGAGGAGAGGAGUUGAGAG
rnacentral:lncRNA from 1 species